rnacentral:tRNA from 1 species
UGGACCUUUAGCUCAACUGGUUAGAGCACUCGGCUCAUAACCGAGCGGUCGUAGGUUCGAGUCCUACAAGGUCCAUAUA